rnacentral:lncRNA from 1 species
AUGGCAGGGUUAUCCUGGAGAGCUCCCCGAGGCUCACAGUUGGGCACUGAGAGUGGGAAGCAGUGGGUGCAUCCCGGUGAAAGCAGACCCGUCCAGUCGGGCUGCCCGCUCCAGGGUGGAUGGCACAUAUGGGCACCCUUGAAGAGCUUUAGUUUGUUCACAGGCUCCAGAAACUGGCAGAGGAUGCAAGUCAGGAGCAUCUCUUUAUGGCUUUGCCCUUCCAACCCCAGGAUCGCUGCCCUCUCCCAGAGCCCACGCCUUUGUGAAGAGACAUGGGAUGAGGAGAAAUUGCUAAACAGGAAUAUCUUUGAAGAAAGGAAAAGAAGGCCGUCAGUUACGUCAAAGUUUCCCUAGGACUCCCACACACAAAAAAUACUUGAGAGGAAGCAUUUUCAUUCUUUCUAAUAUCCCAUCAUCAUCUUUGUGUAAAAGACAAAGGGUGGAUUCCUCAAGACCACUUAGUUUCAAUUUCACCAGGAUAUGCUCAAGGACAUCCAUUUCUGAUGAAAAAGAUGCUCCCAUGGAAUGGUCUGGAGCUGCCACCGGGCCUUGGAUCCCAAGGUUGUGAUGCAGAUGGUCCUGAUGGUUCUAGAGGUCCUGAUCUUUACAAACCUCUUGCAGACCAACCAUGGGAAGAGAGCACAUCUGAAGCCAUUGGAGCAUUGUCCCAUCCCUACUGAUCUGGGAGGCUCACUCUGCACUGGGGGGAAGGCUGGGGGUAGACAUCUGGUUCCAGAUACUGUCAGAGCAGGGAAACUAAAGGGAAAACAACUCAAUAGAAACAAGAAAAGACUAGCAAAUAGUUCAACAAAACCUGAGUAUUAGCAUAGUUAGUCUUGAAGUAGGGAGAUGUGAACCUCAGGAGAUAUUCCGCAGGAAAGGGAGGAAGGUGCUGGCAUUCCAGGGAUUGGAGGGGACCUUGGAAAUAGGGAGAGGUCCUGAGAUAAAGUGCCAGGGUUUCCCCAAAUUGUCUAUAAUGUUUCUUCUCUUUUCCCUUCUACCAUCCUGAAAACUCAAGAGAAAUAUAUACCAUGUGUAUGGACUGAAAGUUUGUGUUUCACAAAAAUGCAUGUAUUGAAGCCUUAACCCCCAAUGUGAUGGUGUUUGGAGACGGGGCCUUUGGGAGAAAAUUAGGGUUGGAUGAGGUCAUUAGGGUGGGACCCUGGUCCAAUGGGAUUAGUGCCCUUAUGAAGAGACACCAGAGAGCUUCCUCUCUCUUUGCCAUAUGAGGACACCGCAAUGUGAUGGCCGCCUUCAAGCCAAGAGAAGAGGCCUCAGAGCGAAACUUGUCUUGCAUCACCUUGGUCUUGGCCUCCAGCCUCCAGAACUGUGAGAAACAAAUGUCUGACGUUUAAGCCACCCAGUUAAUUUGUUUCAUUAUGGCAGCCCAGGCAGACUUAAACAACACAAGAAACAGAGUACAAGAAGAAGAAAAGAAACGGGAAAAAAAAUCAGAGAAAAACACGUUGGAAGUUUAAAAAAGAGAAACAGAAAACUCCUCCAGAGAAAUUAAUAGGUAAAGAGCAGAGGCCAGCAAACUGUAGAUCACAGGUCGGUUCUAGGUCAUGCCUGUUAUUGUUUGACUCCCAAACAGAAUAAUUUUUAAUAGACUUUUUUUUUUCUGUAGAGAAUUUUUAGGGUCACAGCAAAGUUGAGUGGAAAGUAUAGAGAUUUCUCUUAUACCCCCUACCCACCCCCUUCACACACACACAUGCAUAGCCUCCCCCAUUAUCAACAUUCCCACCAGAGUGGGACAUUUGUUCCAAUUGAUGAACCUACAAUAACACAUAAUUAUCACCCAUAGUCCACAGUUUACGUUAGGGAGAUCUUUGUGGCGACAGAACUGUUCUGUGUUUCUAUUGUAGUGGUGGUUACAUGAAUCUAUGCAUGUGAUAAAAUGACCUAGGACCACACACACAUUGUAUUGAUGUCACUUCCUUGGUGUCAACACUGUACUGCAGUUACCAUGGAGGAAGCUCAGUGAACAGUAUGUGGGGUCUCUCUGUACUACCAUUCCAACCUCCUGUGAAUCUAUAAUUAUUGCAAAAUAAAAUGUUCAAAAACAGGGAGACA